rnacentral:rRNA from 1 species
UACGGGGGGAGCAACCGUUGUUCGGAAUCACUGGGCGUAAAGGGUGCGUAGGCGGCUUGGUGGGUCUGGUGUGAAAGCCCCGGGCUCAGCCCGGGAAGGGCACUAGAAACUGCCGAGCUGGAGUGCCGGAGGGGAGAGUGGAAUUCCCCAAGUAGAGGUGAAAUUCGUAGAUAUGGGGAGGAAUACCGGUGGCGAAGGCGGCAUCCUGGACCGACAUUGACGCUGAUGAGCGAAAGCUAGGGGAGCAAACGGG